rnacentral:rRNA from 1 species
AUUGAACGCUGGCGGCAUGCCUUACACAUGCAAGUCGAACGGCAGCACGGGGCAACCUGGUGGCGAGUGGCGAACGGGUGAGUAAUGCAUCGGAACGUACCUUUCAGUGGGGGAUAACGUAGCGAAAGUUACGCUAAUACCGCAUAUUCUGUGAGCAGGAAAGCAGGGGAUCGCAAGACCUUGCGCUGAUUGAGCGGCCGAUGUCAGAUUAGCUAGUUGGUGAGGUAAAGGCUAACCAAGGCGACGAUCUGUAGCGGGUCUGAGAGGAUGAUCGGCGCCACUGGAACUGUGACACGGUACAGACUCCUACGGGAGGCAGCAGUGGGGAAUUUUGGACAGUGGGGGCAACCCUGAUCCAGCCAUGCCGCGUGAGUGAAGAAGGCCUUCGGGUUGUAAAGCUCUUUCGGCCGGGAAGAAAUCGCACGGGCUAAUACCCUGUGUGGAUGACGGUACCGGAAUAAGAAGCACCGGCUAACUACGUGCCAGCCGCCGCCGUAAAAC